UGGGCAUCAUCAUCAUCAGUGUAGCCAUUGUCAUCGUUGUCAUCGUCAUCGCUUUGCAUUGUCACCGUCAUGGAUGUCAUCAUUGCCACUGUCAUUGUUGGGUCCCAUCAUGGGUGUCAUCGUCAUUGUCAUCACUGCUCAUCGUCAUUGUUGGCCACUGUCAUCGCCACCAGUGCCACCAUCAUUGCAUUUACAUCGUUGUCACUGUCACCAUCAUUGUCAUCGUCAUCAUGGCCACUGUCAUUGUCAUCGUUGUUGGUCAUCAUCAUCAUUGUCAUCGUCAUCAUGGCCACUGUCAUUGUCAUCGUUGUUGGUUGCCAUCAUCAUCAUGGCCACUGUCAUUGUCAUCAUUGUUGGUCGUCAUUAUCAUUAUCAUUCUCAUCGUCAUCAUCAUCAUCGUUGGUCAUUGUCACCAUCAUCGUUGUCAUCGUUGGCCAUCAUCAUCAUCGGCCAUGGUCAUUGUGGCCAUUGUCAUCGUUGUCACUGCUGUCAUCAUUGGCCAUCGUCACCGUUAUCAUGGUCUCCACCACCACCGCAGCUGCCACGUUCCCGGCACUGCCACCGCCGGGAGCCGGCUCCGGCUGCCCCAACAUUCCCAAAAAACCGCGGGAAUUCCCCGUUUUGGUUCCCGCCCGAUCCGGGGCCGACCGGGAGCGUGUGGAAGAACGGAGGAGUUCUGGGAUUGGGAACGGCACCGGGAGCGCGGGGCGGGAUUCCCGCGGAUUCCCUGGAAUUCCCGCCGAUUCCGGAGGAUCUCCACGGAAUUCCUGCGGAUUCCUGAGGAUCUCCAUGGAAUUCCCGCCGAUUUUGGAGGAUCUCCAUGGAAUUCCCGCGGAUUUCGGAGGAUUUCCAUGGAAUUCCCACAGAUUUCAGAGGACUUCCAUGGAAUUCCCACGAAUCCCCGCAGAUUCCAUGGAAUUCCUCUUGAUUCCAGAGGAUUUCCAUGGAUUCCCGAGGAUUUCCACGGAAUUCCUGAGGAUCUCCAUAAAUUCUUGUGGAUUCCUGAAGAUUCCUUGGGAUUCCCGUGGUUUUCCAUGGAUUCCUGUGGUUUUCCAUAAAUUCUUGAGAAUUUCUGAGGACUCCCAUGAAUUUCCCGUGGAUUCCCACAGAUUUCCAUAGAUUCCUGAGGAUUUCCAUGAAUUCCAGCAAAUUCCCAUGGAUUCCCGAGAAGUCACAGGAAUUCCUGAUUCUCGUGGAUUCUGAAGGAUUUCCAUGAAUUCCUGAAGAUUCCUGGAGGAUUCCCAUGGAUUCCCACAAAUUUCCAUUAAUUCCCGUGGAUUCCUGAGGAUUCCCAUGGAUUUCCAUCAAUUCCUGAAGAUUCCCAUGGAUUCUUGUGGAUUCCCAAGGAUUUCCAUGGAUUCCUGAGGAUUUCCAUGAAUUCCUACGAAUUCCUGAAGAUUCCCAAGGAUUUCCAUGAAUUCCUCAAGAUUUCCACAAAUUCCCGAGGACUCCCUUCCCGAGGAUUCCCAGAAAUUUCCAUGGAUUCCCGUGGAUUCCCAAGGAUUUCCAUGAAUUCCCAUGGCUUUUUGAGGAUUCCCACGAAUUCCCAUGGAUUCCCGAGCAUUCCCAUGAAUUCCUGAGGAUUCCUGAGGAUUUCCAUGGAUUCCCGCAAAUUCCCAAGGAUAUCCAUGAGUUCCUGAGGAUUUCUAUGGAUUCUUGUGGAUUUCUGAGGAUUUCCAUGGAUUCCCAUGAAUUCCUAAAGAUUUCCAUGAAUUCCACGAAUUCCAACAAAUUUCCACAGAAUCCUGAGAAUUCUCACAAAUUCCUGAGGAUUCCUAAGGAUUUCCAUGGAUUCUCAUGGAUUCCCGAGGAUUUCCAUGGAUUCCUGAGAAUUACCACGAAUUCCAACAAAUAUCCACAGAAUCCUCAGGUUUCCCACAAAUUCCUGAGGAUUCCUGAGGAUUUCCAUGGACUCAUGUGAAUUCCCAAGGAUUUCCAUGGACUCCUGAGCAUUCCAGAGGAUUUCCAUGGAUUCGCAUUAAUUCCUGAGGAUUCCCAAGACUUCCCAUGGAUUCCUGAGGAUUUCCACGGAUUUGAAUUCCCAAGGAUUUCCAUGGACUCCUGAGCAUUCCAGAGGAUUUCCAUGGAUUCGCAUUAAUUCCUGAGGAUUCCCAAGACUUCCCAUGGAUUCCUGAGGAUUUCCACGGAUUCUUGUGGAUUCCUGAGGAUUUCCAUGGAUUCUCAUGGAUUUCCAAGGACUCCUAAGGAUUCCUGAGAAUUCCCACAAAUUCCACUAAAUUUCCAUGGAUUCCUGAGGAUUUCCAUGGAUUCCCACGAAUUCCCGAGGAUUUCCACGAAUUCUCACGAAUUCCUGAUGAUUCCCAAGAAUUCCCAUGGAUUCCUGAGGAUUUCCAUGAAUUCACACAAAUUCCUGAGGAUUCCCAAGAAUUCCCAUGAAUUCCUGAGGAUUCCCACAAAUCCCAACAAAAUUCCCAAGAAUUCCCGAACGUUCCCCCAAAUCCCAACAAAACUCCCGCCAAUUCCCGAGGAUUCCCCCAAAUUCCCGCGGACUCCCACGGAUCCCUGUAGACUCCCACGGAUCUCCAGGAUUUUCCCCGAGGAUUCCCCAGGGAAUUCUUGGGGAUUCCCGGGAAUUCCGGGCCUGCCAAGGCACUUCACUCCGUGCGGAGGAUGAUGUGGAUCCCGGAUUCCGUGAACACGGGGCCGCUCAUCUCGCCGGCCCGGAGCGCGAACGACGCGUCCUCGAACGCCUUCUGCAUCUGCCCUGCGGAGAAAAACCCGAAAUCCCCUCAGCAAUUUGGGAUUCUGGGGCUUGUCCCAAAAAAAGAAGAAAACUG
rnacentral:lncRNA from 12 species